GGGAUUCCGACAACCCAGCGGGAAGUGCUCUAGCGGGGAUUCUGGGCUUGUGAGAGUCCCUGUUUACCCCCCUUUCUUCCUUUUCAUCCAUUAAAACCCUACUUUACUCACCAUUCAAACUGUUUGUGAGCCUAAAUUUUCAUAGCCGUAGGACGGACAAGGACCCCAUCGCUAGCUGAACUAAGGAAAAGUCCUGAAACAUUUUUGGCCUGCAACGUGGGGACUCAAGAAGCACUAGGGAUCUGGAUUUAGACACAGACAACCAGAUAUACUCAUGCGAAGCACUGAUUCAGAACUAAACUGUAGAAGGACGACGCAGUGGCAGAGAAGGUGUCUACUUCACUGGCACAGAAGUCCAGUCUCCUUAUUGUCAGACAGCACAUAAGAUGUGUUCCUGAAGAAUUUCAGAGAGGAGUCCAAGUUGUAAGCCAGCUGGAAACAAGAUGACUACUAUAAUGGCAUGAGAGUGUUCAUUAAGCAAAUUGUAUCUUGCCUUAAGGUCUACGCUAGGCUCUAGAGUUUCAACGCAUUAAAGGUACAGCCCCCUGAUGGAACUAAAUAGAGAACCCAGAAAUAAACCCAUUCAUAUAUGGUCAACUGAUACUCAACAAUAAGGAAAGAAAGUCUCUUUUAUAAAUUACAUUUGAAACACUAUCUACAUGAGAAAGACAUUUGCCCUUUAUCUUACACCAUACACAAAAAUCAACUCAAAAUGGAUUGAAGAUCUAAAUGUAAGACUUGAAACCAUUAAAAGCCUAGGAAAAAAACAUGGAGAAAAUCUCCUUGACAUUGGUCUUGACAAUGGUUUUUUGGCUAGAACACCAAGAGCACAGGCAAGAAGAGCAAACAAUACCAAGUGGGACUGUAUCAAACUAAAAAGCUUCUACACAGCAAAGGAAAGAGUCAACAAAAUGAAAAGGCAACAUGUAAUGAGAGAAAACAUCUGCAAACCACAUAUCUAAUAUUCAAAUUAUAUGAGAAAUUCAUACAACUAAAUAGUAAGAAAAUGAAGAAUCCAAUUAAAAAAUGGACAAAAGACCUGAAUAGGCAUUUCCAAAAGAAGAUAUACAGAUGUUCAAUAGGUAUAUGAAAAAAUGUUCAACAUCACUAAUCCUCAGAGAAAUACAAAUUAAAAUCAUAAUGAGGUAUCACUACACACCUUUUAGAAUAUCUAUUAUCAAAAAUGAAAGAUAAAUGCUGUCAGAAAUGUGGAAAAAUGAAACUUUUGUACAUAGUUCGUGGGAAUGUAAAUUAGUGUAACCAUUACAGAAAACAGUAGGGAGGUUUCUCAAAAAAUUAAAAAUAGAACUACCAUAUGAUCCAACAAAUCACUACUAGGUGUAUUUCCAAAGGAAUGAAAUCAGUUUAUUAAAUAGAUAUCUGCACUGUCAUGUUCAUUGCAGCAUUAUUCACAAUAGUGAAGAUAUGGAAUCAGCCUAAGUGUCUGUCAAUGGAUGAAAUGGAUGAAGAAAAUGUGAUAUGUAUAUAUCUAUAUAUAUGAUUCUAUAUAUAUAAAAUAUCAUAUAUAGAUUAUAUAUCACAUAGAGAGAGCUCCAUAUAUAUAUAUGGAGGCUGA
rnacentral:lncRNA from 1 species